rnacentral:rRNA from 1 species
GUAGGUGGCAAGCGUUGUCCGGGAAUUAUUGGGGCGUAAAGCGCGCGCAGGCGGUUCUUUAAGUCUGAUGUGAAAGCCCACGGGCUCAACCGUGGAGGGUCAUUGGAAACUGGAGAACUUGAGUACAGAAGAGGAAAGCGGAAUUCCACGUGUAGCGGUGAAAUGCGUAGAGAUGUGGAGGAACACCAGUGGCGAAGGCGGCUUUCUGGUCUGUAACUGACGCUGAGGUGUGAAAGCGUGGGGAGCAAACAGGAUUAGAUACCCUGGUAGUCCACGCCGUAAACGAUGAGUGCUAAGUGUUAGGGGGUUUCCGCCCCUUAGUGCUGCAGCUAACGCAUUAAGCACUCCGCCUGGGGAGUACGGCCGCAAAGGCUG